rnacentral:misc_RNA from 1 species
UAAUCUGAACUACCACGAGCACUGUAUAAUUUGCACAAGAAAGUGACUGGAUAAGAUUUCUAGCGUAGCAGAACCAUUAGAUAAUAUAACAAUGAUAGUAAGAUAUAAAGAAUAAAAGUUAUCCUUGGCAAACCAUAGACCUGAAAAACUGACUUCCCAUGGCUCCUUGUUAACCCAUGGCUUCCUCUGAUAUUCCACCUCGCAGAUAAAUUUAGCAGUUCCAUAAUGCCAGUUGAUG